rnacentral:lncRNA from 1 species
AAAGCUUUGGUAUGAAGGUUGUUUUCUUACUGUGUUAUCAGAUUGCACGUACAUAGCGUGUUGUUCUGCUUGUCUUUAGUUUCCUUGCCAGUACACUUUGAGAGGUGGGGGAAGGCCAUAUGCAAUUACGAACAUACUGGAGUUCAUUAAAACCAGUGGAUCUUUGUGAUCCUACUUAAGAUUUAAUAACAGAUCACUUGCUUCUAAAACAUCAAAUCAUCCUCAGGAGCAGUCCGGUUGCUUAUAAUUUGUUUCAGUAUCUACAUAUUGCUGGUCCAUUUUGUUAAUUCCUUGCUUGAGAUUGCUGUUGGCCAUCCUAAGGAAUCUUCUUCUCUCUCACUGUGUAAAACUUUUUGUUUUUAAUCUUCCCACUCUUGUGGAAUUGUUGUCCAUCUCCAGCCUGAAGGCUGUGAGACCCAUUCUGUUUGUUAGCUUCUGUGCUCUGUAGUUACGAUAAUUAGUCUUAACUUCAGCUGGGAGAGCAAAGGAAAAGUAUUUGCUCUAAAGCAUGUAAUAGUCCCUUCCUGCUAUAGGUUAGGAGUUUUCUGACACCUUGCUCCCUGCCCUCCAGGUGUUAUCCUCUGGCAGAACAAAUGGACUGGGGCCAUCAUAUUCACCAUGAAUCUUACUACGCAUGUUCUCUCUAUGUUGCCCUUGUGUUAAAAGCUUGUUUGAAAACGUCGCUUACUCUCAGAUACUCUGAAUUGCUUUCUCUGCUUCUGGGUGACUCUCCCCAGCUCUUCACUUUUGCAGCAGGGGGGAAAGCUCUGACACUGGCAGCAGAUCCAGCAUAAUGAAGCAUUGCUUGUGGUUCUCUUUGUGUUAAAAUGAGCUUCCUCUGAGUUUGGGUGCAUCUGUGCUAUCAGGAGUCGUGUAGAUGCAAGUGCUGAGGUACAGCGAAGUCUUACUGCAUAGUUGUUCAGCAGCUACUUCAGUAUUAGUGGCAACUGCAGAGUCACAGCAUAUACCUCUUCCUACUGUUCUACUCCUUAAAGGGAAAUGUCAGACCCAUCGCAAUGGAGUGUUCUCCUGACAGCACAGCUUGCACCAGGAUCCACAUAUUUGUCUCAUUGUGAAUAGUUAGCUUGGUGACAUUGUCGUAGGGCUGAUUAUGUGCUGUAUCAACUAAUUGCAUUUAAAUGUCCACUUCAGCUACAUUGUCCUAAUAUGGAAUUGCUAGAAAACUGCUCUCAAAAUAAGAUCUGCUCAACUAUUGUACAGGUGGUAAAGACAGCAUGUACAAUAACUUUCUUGGAGCUAAAAACGAGACAAAGCAGUCAACUGUUCUUUAAAAAUAAAACAACAGGACUUGUAGCAUUCAUUAAUCAGCAGUUCAAUUUUCUAACUUGUGUAAGUCAACUCAGCUCUAUGACAGCCAACCUGACGUGGUCUGGUUGCUACUCUGGCCACACCUUUCUAAAUAAAUUAUUAUCAGUUCAUAUUAACUCAGUUUUCCCAGUAUGUGUUGCUAGCAGAACUAUCUUACUUCCCAUCCCAAGUCAUUUCUAUUCUAUAAACCGGAAGGGCAGGAGGAGGCUUGUCUGUGUAGUUUCCUUUAAAACAGUUAGUGCUCCGUAGUUGGGAUUUAAGUGAAUCAGCUCGUUUCAGUUACCAAUUAAUUUGCAUCCCUUCUUGUGAGCUCUCUCUGGAGUAAGCCAGAGGUGAUCGUUCCGUAUUCAUACUGUAUUUAUUUUGUCUGAAUUAGGCACUGAGUUAACAUUUCAGUAAGCCUCUUCACAGGCAGUGAAAGGCUGUAUGUGCUCAGGGGUGAAUGUAUAUUACCACAUGGUGUUAUGGCAGAACUGCGGUAGCCCCCAAACUCCUAAAAUCUCAACUCUUUUCCCAAGACUUACUCAACUACACAACUAAUAAUUUUUACUUGGGGGCGUUUUCUUACAAAUACGUUGUGCCUUACAGUUAGCAUUAGGGAUCUCUGUGCUCACCCGAUGUUCUUAUUCAGCCCAUGGCAUUUGUUUGGUCUUGAUAGAUAAUCAUAGUUUCGUACCUGGAUCAUCUGCCAGAGAAAUGUUGGUGAAAGAGCCGUCCUCCUCAUCUACGGGUAGAUCCAUUGUGUUUCCUUCUUUCCAAGUUUUCAGGGGCAGCACAUUAAGCACGGCGGUUGUCAGCCAUUUUCCGUGCACGUAGUUAAAUCCUUAAUGAGUCGAGCACAGGUGUUACCCGAUCCUGUGGGCAGCCACACGUCGCGCGGCGCCGUAUCUCCUCUGAACCUUGAGCUCCUUUCCGGAAAUCGUUUGGCUGGGAGGCUCCACCAGCUUCAUCCGAUAUGUGCUGAGCAAACACUGUAAUUGCACGCCUGCUGGGAAGGAGCUGUGCAUUCACCUGAAUCGGGGGGGAGGAGUGAAGGUGGUGGUGCUUGUGGUUUUUCUCGAGGACUCCGUAAGGCGGUUUGCUCUUUUGUUGUGUUUUUUGAUAGAAGAAAAGUCUGAACGUUAUGCAGUCAUAAAACGUUACUUCAGGAACGUGCAAUGAGUGGAUUUUGAAGUAGCAAAUUUAACGUGUAAUCUUUAAAUACUCUGGGAUUUUACUGACUUGAGCAGUCGCACCAAAACCAACUGACUGAUGUGCCGGAGUGAAGUAAAAUCAGUAAGCGUUGGGGUUCUGUGAGAGGAGGUGGGAGGAAGAAGGAGAAAACAGCUUCAAAGGAAACCCAAGCUCUUGGGGCAGUUUGUUUUUGCAUCUUAAAAAGAAAUUGAUCGUCAUUUGAACACACGAACUCAGAAGUCACCUCGUGCUUCUUACCUCUUAGAAACAACAUUCUUUUGCACGCAUUGAAUAGCAUCGUUGUUUGCAAUGAAUUUAAAAGUAUACAUAGCCCUGGUCUUGGUUAAAGACAGUGUAGUGAGCAGUGGAACUCCUCCCUGCUCAGGUUGCGUCCCCAGUCUACCUGACUUGGAUUUUUUAAUCAAAAUUUGCAUGCAGAAAAGGACUGGGUUUAGUUGUUGUCAAAUAUUUUUUCUUAAUUAGGAACCUUUCUGAAGUCUUGCUGAAAAUUGAAUUCAGUUCUGUCAAGUGUUGCCUAACUUAUAGAAGUGAUGGAUGUGAUGCUUUCUUCUGGUCCCUUAACUGCUUGUGUGUGUUUUUGCUUUUAUUUAAGCUUGUAAAAUAGGGAAGGUGCUGACAACUGUCUUCAGGGAUUACUGAAAAUCAAGGAUGCCUUGCAUUCUCAGAAUAGUGUCGAGUGUUAUUCAAGCUUAGUUGUGACCCAUACAAAGCACAGCCUUCUUGCAUUUCUGUAACGUCUUAUGUUCAUUUGUAAAUUCUGAAUGAAAAGUGGAAGGGGAGAGAGGAGAAAGUGAUCACUGAAUGGACUCUUGUGCAGACAGCUGCUUUGUCAUCGUCCACUGGUGGUUCAGCUGUUACCUGCUCUUUGCUUGGCCGCUGCCAGCGGUAACUGCUUGCAAUCCCUAUUUGCUGUCAUGUUGGAAUGUGGUUGUCUUCCCUUGAGGAGAGGUGAUUCUGUAUUCUUCUCUCCUUUUUUCAGUGAUACAAUAGUAUGCUUCAGAGUCCUGUCAAUAGCUAGAAAACACUUUGAUUUUUGUCUUUUUCCUUUUUGGUUCCCAGACACAUUACAUAUGGGUGAAGCAUGUCAACUUGGAUUGGAAGGGCAUAUCCUGAAGACUCACACAAUUAGUUAGUACUACCUCUGCAUUUUGUAAAGUUGCAUGCCCAUGGAACCAAGGGUGACUUGGUGUAUGCAGCAUGAGGCACAUCAGCACUUUUCAUUGGACGUUGGAAGUGACUAAGAAUCAUUAGUCUGCCUUUCUCUUUGAAUGCAAGCUUGCCCUCCUUCACUCCGUCCAUCUGUAACUCUGGAGAUGGCACUCAUUCAGCGACAGAGUUGGCUCAGGUCCUUACACUGAAGCUUUGGCACAGAGACACGGGUCCCCCCGAAAUGUACCAUGCACGUGUGAUAUGAGAAGAGUUUUGUCUCCCUGGCUGAAAAAUGACUGCUUUCCACUACUUAAAGGUCACAGCAGUUUCUGACCCCACAUGUUUUAAAGGGGUCUCGGACUGUAUCACAGCACUCAACAAAACAGCCAUCAUUACUUACGGUGGAGUUUGCACUGCUGGAGACUGAGCAGCACUAUUGGCCACCCGUCAGAGCAUCUCUGUUCUGCUCCAGGCAGCCACCUGCUCUGCUACCAACUGUUAGACCAAUGUGGAGAAUUGAGGUACGUGUAUUGUAUUUGGUAAAUGAGUCCUUUCAGUCCAUGCUUUUUGCCCUUACAUACUGUUUCAGGGUUCUGGCUGCCGCUUUGAAAUCACGUGAGCUGGAAUAUGUGUAAUAGAGAUAAGUAUUUGAAGGAGGAAAGUUGAUUUACAAGUAACUGAACUCUCUGAGAACAUUUUUUCCUUGUACGUUCUCCAACAGCAAGGAUAGUUUAAUGUUUACCACUCCUUUCUCUUUCCAUCUGCUCAUCUCUUCUCAUUCAUUCCCUUUUUUUGCCACAAUUUACCACCCUUUGCUUCCCUCUUUUGCCAGCGUUAAUUGGAUCAGCUGGAAUGACAUUAGUGAAAUGAAUCAAGAUAAACACACUUUUUUAACCCAACAAACAAAGCGGGCAAGACAAACAGAGGAGGGCAAUUUCCUAAGCCUGUCUUAGUGCCAAAGCUAAUAUGCUAAGCUGUGGUUUGAGAAGCUGGGACGAUGCAGAGCUCUUAACACCACCCUGUUGUUGCAGUAAUAAGCAAAGAAACGGCAAUGUGUGUGAUGUGCAGUUAGCGUUGGAAAGGUACAGAAGUACAGCAUGAAAGCUAGAGUGUUUGAGGUGUGCUUACACCCAUGGGGAAAGUGCAAACAGGGAACCUGACAGGAUUCCCAUACAGCUACGUCACUUUACCAUGGCACAAAAAAAGCAUUGUGACUUUGGCAUGAUGAUUUCAUGUACUGUUCUGGCUUUGCUCCUCUACCCUGGAGGAAGAGAAAAAUAUUCUUAUCUACUUCUCUUGUUUCUAGAGUGUGAAAUCCAUUCUGACAAUGUGCUGUGCCCCUAAAUCACUUGGGCAUCACUUAUGCUGCUUCUCGUGUACUGCUGUUAGCCCCGGUGCCUGGAUGUGGCUGAUCCAAUGCGCUACCCAAAAGCCCCAGUCAUAUAUGCCGUGGCUUUAGGGAGCCCUCUGUAUUUACUGAAUUUACUGGUUGUGAACAGUGACAUUCGUGGUGGCUGCCUCAAAGCUCAGCUCUGCAUCCUGUAGGACGGAACGCCGGGUGAUCUCAAGUGGUGCACAAUUCUUUCACAUGAGCUCUCACUACCUGCCUAGUGAGGCUGAGGCUGCAGUUCUGUAUAUCACAGAGAGGAAAGCUAUCAUUGUGCAAUCCCAACGUGAUGUAAGCAUUAGAAUGCAGGACUUGUUUGUCCCCAGCUCUAUCAUAGAUUUUUCUGUUGUUUUGAACAAAGUGUUCAAUGCAUCUGAUAUUGCUUUCUCUAGGUAUAAAUUAAGGUUCUAGUCUCAUUUUGGUAUUAAGAGAUAGAGUUCAUCCGUGUGCUGUGGUCUUGGUGCUGUGGAAGUGCAAAGCAUUAAUCUGGCGAUUGCACCACCUGUAUAUAUCCCAUGUCCAAGAGCCUCAAAGGCCUUUAGGUUUACUGGGUACUUUGAUGGCUGGCAGCAAGGAUUCAGCCUUUCAAAAUAUAACUCUGCACUGCAGAUGAAACUCCCAGGAGCUACCAAGUAGCUCGGGAAGAGCCUAAAUGUGGGAUUGUUGGCUGCAUGGGUCACGCAGCCUCACGGUGUGGCUCACAGCCCUGUCCCUGGGGAUGGAGCAGCGGCGUCAGGCCAAGGGAGCAGCGGGGGCCACAAGGAGGCUUUCUUCCCUCAGACAAAUGGAUUUAGUGCAGGAGAGAAGAGGGAGGGAGGCUGAAGUGCCCUGUCCUUUUAGCAUCUGCGGCUGCAGGAAAGGGGGGAUUGCUGCUCACUCUUCGCUUUUCCUGCAGGAGUGUGGGAGCCUCCUUGGUGGUGUCUGCACAGCUGGUUGUAAUUAUGCACUGCAGCUUCAGAGGAAGUUGCUGGCUGUGGGGAGCGUGCAAUGCUUGGCUGUGGACCCACUGCUUUUAUGGGUACAAUGGAGGUGGAGAGAGUAAAAGCAGUGGCACAGAGUGAAGGGGAGGGUGAGAGCCUAAUAACCCCCCACUUGAGCCAGCUGCCUUGCUGGAUCGUUACCUACUUGUGGAAGUCCCUUGGUAGAUGUGUAACACAAAACCCUUUAAAACUAGCUGGAAAACUAUUUAUUUCUUA